GUUUACCUAUAACACCCCUUCAGCCGAAAUGGAGUCUUCCAUAUUAUUGUUUCGAGUUGUCUCCCUUCCGGAAGUAUUUUCAUUCAAAAUUGAAAUACAGUACGACUCGUCAAGAAAAAUUAACUCGUUAGAUUUCGAUAAAUGUCGUAUUAUAUUAAGAACGAUCUCAAUUUAAACAGAGGAGUGUGUAAGGAAAGGAGUCAUGCCCACGGACCCAAAGGAAAUUAAUAUUUAAAGAGUUAGAAAUGGGGUUCCUCCUAGAAUUAACGGUGAUAAGAUAUACGAAGUGAAAUACCUUCUCUCAUUCUCAGUGACUGCUGUGGAAAGUAAACUUGGAAUUGAUAGUACAAAAAUAAAACACAAUAAGUACGUUGCUCAUACACUUGUAUGGUAUUGUUUCCGGGAUUGGCCAUUUUUUUAAAGUUGAGUGACUAUUCUGAUUAUUACAUUUUGCAUGUGCAGUUGAAUUAGUUUUAAAAAUAAAUAAUACUAUCCAGCUGUACCAGGGC
rnacentral:lncRNA from 1 species